UGUGGUCAAGUUUUUAAGGGCGCACGGUGGAUGCCUUGGCAUUAGGAGCCGAAGAAGGACGUAGGAAUCUGCGAUAAGCCUGGGGGAGUUGAUAACCGAGCGGUGAUCCCAGGAUGUCCGAAUGGGGAAACCCCGCACAACGCUGCAAGGUGAUUGUGUGACCCGUGCCUGAAUUCAUAGGGUGCGUGGGGGGAACGCGGGGAAGUGAAACAUCUCAGUACCCGCAGGAAGAGAAAACAAGAGUGAUUCCGUUAGUAGUGGCGAGCGAACGCGGAUGAGGCUAAACCGUUCCAUGUGUGAUAGCCGGCGGGCGUUGCGUGGGCGGGGUUGUGGGACUUUCCGUGCUGGUUCUGCCGGACCGGUGGGGUGUGGGUGUGCGUAUAGGUGAGCGGUCUUGAAAGGCCGGCCAGAGAGGGUGUGAGUCCCGUAACCGUAAUGUGUGGCACCGCCUUUGGAGAGGAUCCCAAGUAGCACGGGGCCCGAGAAAUCCCGUGUGAAUCUGUCAGGACCACCUGAUAAGCCUAAAUACUUCCUAAUGACCGAUAGCGGACCAGUACCGUGAGGGAAAGGUGAAAAGUACCCCGGGAGGGGAGUGAAACAGUACCUGAAACCGUGUGCUUACAAUCCGUCAGAGCAUCUGCAGCCCUUCGGGGUUGUAUGGGUGUGAUGGCGUGCCUUUUGAAGAAUGAGCCUGCGAGUUAGUGUUACGUCGCGAGGUUAACCCGUGUGGGGAAGCCGUAGCGAAAGCGAGUCUGAACAGGGCGUGUUCAGUGGCGUGAUCUAGACCCGAAGCGGAGUGAUCUACCCAUGGCCAGGUUGAAGCGACGGUAAGACGUCGUGGAGGACCGAACCCACUUCAGUUGAAAAUGGAGGGGAUGAGCUGUGGGUAGGGGUGAAAGGCCAAUCAAACUCCGUGAUAGCUGGUUCUCCCCGAAAUGCAUUUAGGUGCAGCGUUGCGUGUUUCUUGCCGGAGGUAGAGCUACUGGAUGGCCGAUGGGCCCUACAAGGUUACUGACGUCAGCCAAACUCCGAAUGCCGGUAAGUCAGAGCGCAGCAGUGAGACUGUGGGGAUAAGCUUCAUAGUCGAGAGGGAAACAGCCCAGACCACCAACUAAGGCCCCUAAGCGUGUGCUAAGUGGGAAAGGAUGUGGAGUUGCUUAGACAACCAGGAGGUUGGCUUAGAAGCAGCCAUCCUUGAAAGAGUGCGUAAUAGCUCACUGGUCAAGUGAUUCCGCGCCGACAAUGUAGCGGGGCUCAAGUACACCGCCGAAGUUGUGGCAUUCACGCAUUACCCUAGCCUUCGUGGUUCAGGGGUGUGGAUGGGUAGGGGAGCGUCGUGUGGGCGGUGAAGUCGCGGUGUAAACCAGCGGUGGAGCCUACACGAGUGAGAAUGCAGGCAUGAGUAGCGAAAGACGGGUGAGAAACCCGUCCGCCGAAUGAUCAAGGGUUCCAGGGUCAAGCUAAUCUGCCCUGGGUAAGUCGGGACCUAAGGCGAGGCCGACAGGCGUAGUCGAUGGACAACGGGUUGAUAUUCCCGUACCGGCGAAAAACCGCCCAUGUUGAACGGGGGAUACUAACCACCGCCGGUCUUUCUUGUUGCGCCACUUGUGGUGUGAUGGUUGGGCUGGUGCUGGGACCUGAUCCCGGGAGGCAAGCGUAUUAACAGGUGUGACGCAGGAAGGUAGCCGGGCCGGGCGAUGGUAGCCCCGGUCCAAGGAUGUAGGGUCAGGGAUAGGCAAAUCCGUUCCUGUGUGUUUCGAGCACGAUCCUGAGAUCUGAUGGGACUCCCGCAUGGGGGAUCCGGUGAUCCUAUGCUGCCUAGAAAAGCAUCGACGCGAGGUUUUAGCCGCCCGUACCCCAAACCGACACAGGUGAUCAGGUAGAGAAUACCAAGGCGAUCGAGAGAAUUAUGGUUAAGGAACUCGGCAAAAUGCCCCCGUAACUUCGGGAGAAGGGGGCCUGCCCCGUGAUACAGACUUGCUUUGUGGAGCGGGUGUGGGCCGCAGAGACCAGGGGGAAGCGACUGUUUACUAAAAACACAGGUCCGUGCGAAGUCGCAAGACGAUGUAUACGGACUGACUCCUGCCCGGUGCUGGAAGGUUAAGAGGACCGGUUAGCCCCUUGCGGGCGAAGCUGGGAAUUUAAGCCCCAGUAAACGGCGGUGGUAACUAUAACCAUCCUAAGGUAGCGAAAUUCCUUGUCGGGUAAGUUCCGACCUGCACGAAUGGAGUAACGACUUCCCCGCUGUCUCAACCAUAAACUCGGCGAAAUUGCAGUACGAGUAAAGAUGCUCGUUACGCGCAGCAGGACGGAAAGACCCCGAGACCUUUACUAUAGUUUGGUAUUGGUGUUCGGAGUGGCUUGUGUAGGAUAGGUGGGAGACGUUGAAACCCGGACGCCAGUUCGGGUGGAGUCAUCGUUGAAAUACCACUCUGGUCACUUUGGACAUCUAACUUCGGCCCGUGAUCCGGGUCAGGGACAGUGCCUGAUGGGUAGUUUAACUGGGGCGGUUGCCUCCUAAAAAGUAACGGAGGCGCCCAAAGGUUCCCUCAGCCUGGUUGGCAAUCAGGUGUCGAGUGUAAGUGCACAAGGGAGCUUGACUGUGAGAGAGACAUCUCAAGCAGGGACGAAAGUCGGGACUAGUGAUCCGGCGGUACAUUGUGGAAUGGCCGUCGCUCAACGGAUAAAAGGUACCUCGGGGAUAACAGGCUGAUCUUGCCCAAGAGUCCAUAUCGACGGCAUGGUUUGGCACCUCGAUGUCGGCUCGUCGCAUCCUGGGGCUGGAGUAGGUCCCAAGGGUUGGGCUGUUCGCCCAUUAAAGCGGUACGCGAGCUGGGUUUAGAACGUCGUGAGACAGUUCGGUCCCUAUCCGCUGCGCGCGCAGGAAAUUUGAGAAGGGCUGUCCUUAGUACGAGAGGACCGGGACGGACGAACCUCUGGUGUGUCAGUUGUACUGCCAAGUGCACCGCUGAUUAGCUACGUUCGGAUGGGAUAACCGCUGAAAGCAUCUAAGCGGGAAGCUCGCUUCAAGAUGAGAUUUCCAAACACAUUAUGUGUGAGAGGCCCCCAGCCAGACCACUGGGUUGAUAGGCCGGAUGUGGAAGCGAGGACUAAAGACUCGUGAAGCUGACCGGUACUAAUAGGCCAACAACUUACACCACA
rnacentral:rRNA from 1 species